rnacentral:lncRNA from 1 species
CAAAGAAAUCGUGACCCUGCAGCCCUCACUUUUCUCUUCACUGCAGCCCUCACUCUCAAUCCAGUUCACUGCAGCUCCCUCUUUCCCCUCAAUUUUCUCAAUCCAGUUGCAGCAAAUCUCUCUCUUGGUCGCUCUUGGUGUGCUAGCCACUGCCGCUGCUCUUUCUCCGUUGUAACCGCUGCUGCUACUUCGUCUUUGCUCUCUCGGAUCUUCGUCUACUGCUACUUCGUUGUCACUUGCCGGUAUUUAUUUUGUUUAUAAGCUGAAAUUUUUUAGAGAUGAUUUGAGUGAUUUUUAAUUCUGGAAAUUUCUGAGGUUGUUCAUAUGUAGUGACAAAUUGUUUAUUUAUGAGCUGAAAUUUUUCCUCAUUUAUUUUAGAGAUUGUGAAAUCUCAAUUUGUGUUCAAAAAAUAAUAAUUCUAUUUCCAAGUUUGAUAAUGCAACCUAAAUUAAAAAAAAAAUCCUUCACAGAUUUGUGCGAAAAGGAAGAAAAAGAAAUGCACGAGAAAAUAAUCAAAUUGUAACUGGCAAUUUGAUUGCAGAGUAGAAUUGA